rnacentral:rRNA from 1 species
CCUACGGGUGGCAGCAGUAGGGAAUCUUCCACAAUGGGCGAAAGCCUGAUGGAGCAACGCCGCGUGGGUGAAGAAGGUCUUAGGAUCGUAAAACCCUGUUUUUAGAGAAGAAAGUGCGUGAGAGUAACUGUUCACGUUUCGACGUUAUCUAACCAGAACGCCACGGCUAACGACGUGCCAGCAGCUGCGGUAAUACGUAGGUGGCAAGCGUUAUCCGGAUUUUUUGGGCGUAAAGGGAACGCAGGCGGUCUUUUAAGUCGGAUGUGAAAGCCUUCGGCUUAACCGGAGUAGUGCAGUGGAAACUGGGAGACGUGAGGGCAGAAGAGGAGAGUGGAA